UACGGGGGGGGCAAGCGUUGUUCGGAAUUACUGGGCGUAAAGGGCUCGUAGGCGGCCAACUAAGUCAUACGUGAAAUCCCUCGGCUUAACCGGGGAACUGCGUCCGAUACUGGAUGGCUUGAGUUCGGGAGAGGGAUGCGGAAUUCCAGGUGUAGCGGUGAAAUGCGUAGAUAUCGUGAGGAACACCAGAGGCGAAGGCGGCUACCUGGACAAUUGCUGACGCUCAGGCACGAAAGCGUGGGGAGCAAAAGGG
rnacentral:rRNA from 1 species